rnacentral:rRNA from 1 species
UACGUAGGGGGCAAGCGUUGUCCGGAUUUAUUGGGCGUAAAGAGCGUGUAGGCGGCCAGGUAGGUCCGUUGUGAAAACUCGAGGCUCAACCUCGAGACGUCGGCGGAAACCCUCUGGCUAGAGUCCGGAAGAGGAGAGUGGAAUUCCUGGUGUAGCGGUGAAAUGCGCAGAUAUCAGGAAGAACACCCGUGGCGAAGGCGGCUCUCUGGGACGGAACUGACGCUAAGGCGCGAAAGCGUGGGGAGCGAACAGG